rnacentral:tRNA from 1 species
CCGCCCGUAGCUCAGUUGGUAGAGCAGGGGCCUCUUAAGCCCAAGGUCGCAGGUUCGAGACCUGCCGGGCGGACAA